rnacentral:rRNA from 1 species
UACGUAGGGGGCGAGCGUUGUCCGGAUUUAUUGGGCGUAAAGAGCGUGUAGGCGGCCAGGUAGGUCUGCUGUGAAAACUCGAGGCUCAACCUCGAGACGUCGGCGGAAACCAUCUGGCUAGAGUCCGGAAGAGGAGAGUGGAAUCCUGGUGUAGCGGUGAAAUGCGCAGAUAUCAGGAAGAACACCCGUGGCGAAGGCGGGUCUCUGGGACGGUACUGACGCUGAGACGCGAAAGCGUGGGGAGCGAUCCGG